GCUUGAAUUUGCCUAGCAACAGUUGCUUCAAGUUUUGAAUUAACUGAUUUCUCCAGCUGAUUCACUGCCUUAUCACCUACUCCUCUCUGGAACGACUCUGCAAUAGCUGAAGAUAUUGUUUUCUCAAUGACUGGAGACAUUGAACGAGCUAUAGCUGGCCCAACUGAAGCCAAUUCUUUCUUCACUGCCUUCUCUAACAUGACUGCCAAGUCCUUGUUGACAAAGUUAGAGAUCAAACUUGUUAUUUGCUGCAUGCGAUCUCUCAAUAACUUCUCACUUUUUGCAUUCUCUUCUUGAAAUCGAGCCCACAGUGCAUCAGUAUUUGCCUUGACAGCUUUCUCAAUGCUCCGCCCUAAAGCUGCUUCCAGUCUUCUGCAUUCUUUUGAAACAGGGACAGCUACCAUAUUUGACAUCUGCUUCUGCAUUUCUUUUUGUGUAGUCACUAGCUGAUUAAGAAUCUCCAGCAUAGCGAAAAUUUGAGGAAAGGCAGCUUCCAAAGACAGGAGACUUGAAGUGCCAGUUGGUUCAUUGGAAGAAUCUGUUGAAUUAAAAGCACUAGGAGAAGAAGAAGAUGGACCUGUUGCUUGAGAAUUUUUCCCCUUCUGCUUCUUCCCCUUCAUAUUUGGAGUUGUUGAUUGUUGAACUAUUGCAGGCAUACUUGACUCAGAAACUUUCCGUGAUGUAUCUUUUGUGGAGUCAUCAUGGACUUCUUCCUUACUUGUGUGAGAAGGUUGAGCAAGAAACUCAGCCAUAUCAACACCGUCAACUUGCUGAGGUUCCUCCAUUGUAUAAGUUUCUGCUGAUAUGGAACAACACUCCCUGGCCAUCUCAAUACCAAGAUCUGAAGCCUGGGAACAAAAAUAUUUUUCCUUGUUUUCUGAAAUGGGGUUUUUAGGUUCUCCACGGUGACCAAAUUCAUCUUUCUGAGUAGAGUUUGUUUCACCAACUACUUUAACCUCCACCUCUGCAUUACUGACAUUAUUAAUGACAACAACUUCUUGAAUAUUUGUUUCAACCUCAGUCUUGACCUCAUCAUUAUUAUUACUAGGAGAUGAAGCACCCAUUAGAAUCUCGG
rnacentral:misc_RNA from 1 species